GGAUGUGGUUGGCUUGCUGUUAGUUUUCGACACCAGCUUCACGUUCUGGGAGUUGUAGGCAGCCAGCCCAAAGCAAGAUCUUAGUGCUCCUAUGGCUGAUGACAAUGAGCUCGAACUUUUUGUUUUGCAGAUAUCUUCUGAGAGGCUCAGGGGUUCUUCAUAACAGUUCACAGUAAUGCAGAUUCAAUUAAAGUGUGUGUGAAUUAUACAUUCAUGUUCAAAUGCAGACCCAAGGACUUCAUGCAUCAACAGAAAACAGCCG